GAAUGGAAGGGCCAUCGCUCAACGGAUAAAAGGUACUCCGGGGAUAACAGGCUGAUACCGCCCAAGAGUUCAUAUCGACGGCGGUGUUUGGCACCUCGAUGUCGGCUCAUCACAUCCUGGGGCUGAAGUAGGUCCCAAGGGUAUGGCUGUUCGCCAUUUAAAGUGGUACGCGAGCUGGGUUUAGAACGUCGUGAGACAGUUCGGUCCCUAUCUGCCGUGGGCGCUGGAGAACUGAGGGGGGCUGCUCCUAGUACGAGAGGACCGGAGUGGACGCAUCACUGGUGUUCGGGUUGUCAUGCCAAUGGCACUGCCCGGUAGCUAAAUGCGGAAGAGAUAAGUGCUGAAAGCAUCUAAGCACGAAACUUGCCCCGAGAUGAGUUCUCCCUGAGACUUAGAGUCUCCUGAAGGAACGUUGAAGACGACGACGUUGAUAGGCCGGGUGUGUAAGCGCAGCGAUGCGUUGAGCUAACCGGUACUAAUGAACCGUGAGGCUUAACCUUACA
rnacentral:rRNA from 1 species